rnacentral:rRNA from 1 species
GGGUGGUGGAAAGAUUUAUCGGUGCAGGAUGGGCCCGCGGCCUAUCAGCUUGUUGGUGGGGUAAUGGCCUACCAAGGCGACGACGGGUAGCCGACCUGAGAGGGUGACCGGCCACACUGGGACUGAGACACGGCCCAGACUCCUACGGGAGGCAGCAGUGGGGAAUAUUGCACAAUGGGCGAAAGCCUGAUGCAGCGACGCCGCGUGAGGGAUGACGGCCUUCGGGUUGUAAACCUCUUUCAGCAGGGACGAAGCGCAAGUGACGGUACCUGCAGAAGAAGCACCGGCUAACUACGUGCCAGCAGCCGCGGUAAUACGUAGGGUGCAAGCGUUGUCCGGAAUUACUGGGCGUAAAGAGUUCGUAGGCGGUUUGUCGCGUCGUUUGUGAAAACCAGCAGCUCAACUGCUGGCUUGCAGGCGAUACGGGCAGACUUGAGUACUGCAGGGGAGACUGGAAUUCCUGGUGUAGCGGUGAAAUGCGCAGAUAUCAGGAGGAACACCGGUGGCGAAGGCGGGUCUCUGGGCAGUAACUGACGCUGAGGAACGAAAGCGUGGGUAGCGAACAGGAUUAGAUACCCUGGUAGUCCACGCCGUAAACGGUGGGCGCUAGG